rnacentral:lncRNA from 1 species
AUGGACAGACAUAUACAUUUCCCCUUGUCUUUUUUUAUUUUAUUUUAUUUUUAUUUUUUGUUUGUUACGAUGUAUAUGGACUGCCAGAAUAGGGCGGGGGUGGUUUGCUGGUUUGGUGGUGUCUGAGGGAGAAAGGAGUCCUUACCCUGGCUUCCUUAAUCGGGGAAGGCUUCCUGAAGGAGGUGGGCUCAGAGGUGAGUUGUGAAUGAAGUGGGUAGGGAAGGGCCUGGGUGGAAGGUUUGGGUAUAUUGGAGGGUGGUGAAUAAUGGGGUAGAGGGACUUUUAUUAUUUGGGAUUAUAUUGGGAAGAGAGAGAACAACAAAAAAGGACUUGUAUUUUCAUUUUUGAAAAUGAAUUGAGUCAUGUGACUAAGAACGUUUGUUUAUUGUUUUGUUGGUUUUUUUUUUUUUGGUUUGGUUCUUUUUUUUUGGAAAAAAAAGGUUGUACAUACAGGAAAGUGGAUUGCUAACUGGGGGUGGAGGGGGUUUUCUAUUCUUCUUUGAGCUGAUUUUCCUGGUCUCCCCUGCCCUCCAUUAACUCACAGGUCUCGAAGUGCUGCUGCUAAAAUUCAUACAACAGCCUUGACUGGGCAAAGUCCUCCCCUUGCUUCAGGGCAUCAAGGGGAGGGAGAUGCACCUUCUGUUGAACCAGGUGCCACCAACAUACAACAACCUAGUAGCCCAGCUCCCUCUACAAAGCAAUCUAGCAGUCCUUAUGAAGACAAAGAUAAGAAAGAGGUAUGUUCUGAGUUGGUAGUGUUCAUUGGGUUGCAGGGAUUUAUUUACUCAGGGAUGUGCCUUAAAUGGGCAAGUGUGGUACAUAAUGUAGUUUAUUAGACAAAAAUCUUGUCCUUUAGAUUAUGGUCAGGUUCAGAGAUCAAGGUUGACAAGCAGCUAUAGAAAGCAGUUACAUGUGUGGGGGUGUAUGUGAGUGGAUUGGGUGGUAGUUUCAGAGAAACCAAUAGUGUAAGCAAAUAUGAAGAUUUUUAGACAGUAUUCAAAGAAGAUACAGAAUGAGAGAAAGAGUUCUCUUCAGUUGGAACUCAGCAACAUGGACAAGUUUAGUGGUGCAUAAUGCCAUCUAUAAACAACUACUGAGAAAUACUUGAGUUCCUAGCCCUACAUUCCUCAUUCAGUUUCCAAGUCCUUUUACACACCUACAAGUAUUUUAGAGUUAUGACCCACUAAAUUGUGAAGUCUUCAGAAUGAAACUUCAUUGGAUAUUAGUAAGUUUUAUAUCAGUAAUUUGUUUAUAUCCAUACAGAGAACAAAAUGGUUUAUUUUUUUGAAACCAGAACAUUUAUUUUAUGACUGAUUGAAAUCCUAAAGGUGAACUGGAUGCUACAGCAGCUAAAACUGCCCUCUUGGGUUGAGAUGUUGUUCCUUCAAGGAAUCCAUGUCUGAAUGUGGGAUAAACAAUUUUAGGCUCCUCAUCCACCCAGACGCAGUAGUGCUUUGUCUCUUUUAGUCUUGGGACUCCAAUAAUACUCUUGCUCUUGCCACAAUAGCCACAUUUGCCACAGGUCAACUUCUGAAGGUGGUGGUUAAGUGCCUUAGUGCCAUAGAAGUGGCACAUGUACAUCGAAUUAUGACCAAGGAUGAUGUUUUCUUUUGUCAUCUUGCUUCUGCCCAACAAAAAGUUUUCUUUUUUUUUUUUUUUGAUUUCUUUUUUUUUAAAUUAGGUAUUUUCCUCGUUUACAUUUUCAGUGCUAUCCCAAAGGUCCCCCAUACCCACCCCCCAACAAAAAGUUUUCUAAAAAUUACCUUUAACUUUACUACUUAAAGUAUCUAUAUCCUUUUUAUUGUAUGCUUGUCAUGAGUUCUUACAUUUUUCAAUCCUUUGAUUUGAUGCCACCAAUCUGAAAGCAUGAAAGAAUUAUCUUUUUAGUAGUUCCUGUUUUAUAUUCUCUAUUCUAGUUCUGUGGCUGAUUGUUUCUACUGGUUUCAGUAAUUAAUGUAACUUAAUAUUUCCCGUAUUGUGUCUCAUUUUAAAGAUAAGUUACAAGAAAACUUUGCUGCUUGCUAUGGUGUUUGUGGUGUUUUCUGUAAUUAAGCUGUUUUUAUGGUUUGGCCUGUUCCUGUAAGACCAUGGUGAAUUAAUUUUUGUGUGUAUGUAUGAGGGGGAGGCAAAUGUGUUACAUGUGUUUGGAGGUCAAAGGACAAAACUACCUAUAUAUGUGUUCUGUGGAUUGAACUCUGGUUACCAGGCUUAUGUUGCAAGUGCCAUCUCAUUGACUGUUGGUCAGUAUGUUUGUUUUUGAGACAGGGUCUCCUUACAUAAGGCCCUGGCUGUCAUGCAACUUAAUACAUAGUUCAGGCUAAUCUUAAACUCACAGAGCUCCACCUGCCUCUGUCUCUGAAGUACUGGGAUUAAAGGCAUAUAUGGCCAUGCCAGGCCCCUCUUGAUAAAAUUUAACACAUUAUACACUUUAAAACCUUGUGCCCAUUUGUGAUAUUUUAAGUCAGUCCAUAUUCAGGUGAAAGUUAUUGUCACCCAAACUUUCUCUUUUUGUUUAAUUAUACCUUUUUUGGGUGGUGUUGUAGUGUUCAUUUGCAACCCAUACACAACGUCAGACACUUUCCCUUGAAAAGAAAAAAACAUUCAAUAGAGAUGACUUGCUUGAUGAGUUUAAAACACUCAUCAAAAGAUAUUGAGUAAGUUUAAGAGAACAAUGUACAAAGCAAAAAAAAAAUUAAGAGGUAAG